UACGUAGGGGGCAAGCGUUGUCCGGAUUUAUUGGGCGUAAAGAGCGUGUAGGCGGCCAGGUAGGUCAGCUGUGAAAACUCGAGGCUCAACCUCGAGACGCCGGUUGAAACCAUCUGGCUAGAGUCCGGAAGAGGAGAGUGGAAUUCCUGGUGUAGCGGUGAAAUGCGCAGAUAUCAGGAAGAACACCAAUGGCGAAGGCAGCUCGCUGGGACGGUACUGACGCUGAGACGCGAAAGCGUGGGAGCAAACAGG
rnacentral:rRNA from 1 species